rnacentral:rRNA from 1 species
CAGUUCGGACUGUAGGCUGCAACUCGCCUACACGAAGCUGGAAUCGCUAGUAAUCGCGGAUCAGCACGCCGCGGUGAAUACGUUCCCGGGCCUUGUACACACCGCCCGUCACACCAUGAGAGCCUGUAACACCCAAAGCCGGUGGGAUAACCUUUAUAGGAGUCAGCCGUCUAAGGUAGGACAGAUGAUUAGGGUGAAGUCGUAACAAGGUAGC